rnacentral:tRNA from 1 species
UCGAGCGCGCGGCCGAGGUUGUGCCGAUGCGUGAUGCCCGCACGCUGGUCGGACUCGCGGGCUCGGUCACGACGGUGGCAGCCGUCGCACUCGGUC